AUAUAGUAUCUGGAAUAAAAAAUUCAUGACAUGGGCUUAACAGCAGAUUGGAUACUACAGAUGCAAAGACCAUGAUCUUGAACAUUUAGCAGUGGAAAUGGUACAAACAGCGGCAAGAUUAAAGCCUGAGGGUGGAACAGGGUGGAGGAAAUGGCCACAGGGCCUCACU